rnacentral:rRNA from 1 species
CAAUAGCGUAUAUUUAAGUUGCUGCAGUUAAAAAGCUCGUAGUUGGAUUUCGGGUGGGAAUGGCCGGUCCGCCGUUUCGGUGUGCACUUGCUACGCCCACCUUGCUGCCGGGGACGUGCUCUUGAGUUCACGCUCGGGACACGGAGUCGGCGAGGUUACUUUGAGUAAAUUAGAGUGUUCAAAGCAGGCCUACGCUCUGAAUACAUUAGCAUGGAAUAACACGAUAGGACUCUGGCCUAUCUUGUUGGUCUGUAGGACCGGAGUAAUGAUUAAGAGGGACAGUCGGGGGCAUUCGUAUUUCAUUGUCAGAGGUGAAAUUCUUGGAUUUAUAAAAGACGAACUACUGCGAAAGCAUUUGCCAAGGAUGUUUUCAUUAA